UCAAAAUGAAUUAAAUUUGAAUCGAUUAAUUUUUUGUACUUGUCACGCAAAGCGCAAAAUAUUCAAUAUCUAGAAACUUUGUGCUGAGUUUGAGGGAAAAAUGAACAAUCAUUAACUUAAGUUAUCUGCUUGAUAUUUCCUUGUUUCUUGUUUGGGGUUGUUUUGUUUGUUUGUUUCGCUCUAAUAAGUUGCUAAGCAACAUGUAAACUCUUGAAAAUGGUAUGAAAUUUAACAUGAUUACCAAAAAAAAAAGUUAUCUGCUUGAUUUGAUCAUUCAUCAAAGUAUAUUCGCAUUAUCAUGAUCAACUAUUCGGUAUUGGAUUUCAAAAAAAAAAAAGAACAAAUGGAAAAGAAAAAAGUUACUAAAGGUGGUGAUAUUACACGGACAAAAGGAGAAAACAUGUAAUAAGCGGAGAUUGCAUCGGUCGGACCAUUGAACUAUGUUGAAUUGUCUGAUUAUAAAGUGACAACAAAACAAAAACCAAAGAAAAUAAAACAAAAACCCAUAUUGUGAAAUCCCAUUAAUCAAAAAUUUAUCAUCACGAGUUGACUUGCCAACGUUGUCUUCAUUAUUAGAUUUAGAAAGUGCCAAAUGAACCUUCAUAAUUAUUCUUAUCGUACUACUUUGAUGGACACUUGCCUGAGUUAAUUAAUUUUACACACACACAUAUAUAUAUAUGUGAAUUUCAUAAUGAUCAGGUGUAUAUUUGGACCGACUAAUCAACUUCAGAGCUAAUGACCCAUCGAUGGGUAUGCAUC
rnacentral:lncRNA from 1 species